GCUGGCGGCAUGCCUUACACAUGCAAGUCGAACGGUAACGCGGGGCAACCUGGCGACGAGUGGCGAACGGGUGAGUAAUAUAUCGGAACGUGCCCAGUAGUGGGGGAUAGCCCGGCGAAAGCCGGAUUAAUACCGCAUGAGACCUGAGGGUGAAAGCGGGGGAUCGCAAGACCUCGCGCUAUUGGAGCGGCCGAUAUCAGAUUAGCUAGUUGGUGGGGUAAAGGCCUACCAAGGCAACGAUCUGUAGUUGGUCUGAGAGGACGACCAGCCACACUGGGACUGAGACACGGCCCAGACUCCUACGGGAGGCAGCAGUGGGGAAUUUUGGACAAUGGGCGCAAGCCUGAUCCAGCAAUGCCGCGUGCAGGAAGAAGGCCUUCGGGUUGUAAACUGCUUUUGUCAGGGAAGAAAUCUUCUGGGUUAAUACCUCGGGAGGAUGACGGUACCUGAAGAAUAAGCACCGGCUAACUACGUGCCAGCAGCCGCGGUAAUACGUAGGGUGCGAGCGUUAAUCGGAAUUACUGGGCGUAAAGCGUGCGCAGGCGGCUCUGCAAGACAGAUGUGAAAUCCCCGGGCUCAACCUGGGAACUGCAUUUGUGACUGCAAGGCUAGAGUACGGCAGAGGGGGAUGGAAUUCCGCGUGUAGCAGUGAAAUGCGUAGAUAUGCGGAGGAACACCAAUGGCGAAGGCAAUCCCCUGGGCCUGUACUGACGCUCAUGCACGAAAGCGU
rnacentral:rRNA from 1 species